rnacentral:sRNA from 1 species
UGCAUUAGAGACAUAGAUACAGAGGUGCUGUACUGUGUUCUUGCAACGGUGGAGGUGCUCGGCUGGUAACGUUAAAGAAGGAAUAAGGCGCCCGAGAGAAGGCGUUCGUCUUUGUUGUGGAGCAUCAGCCGUUAAGGACGGCCAGCUGCUGUGGGAGGUCAGUGAAGGAGGCUCAGUUCAUGCAAUUUCCUGCUGCAGAGAGCAUUUUAAGAAAGGACAGUGUUCCUGUGACCUCUGCCUACCAUCCAUAAAAUACUCAUUCCCCUCUCAG